rnacentral:rRNA from 1 species
CGGGACGGGUGAGUAAUGUCUGGGAAACGUGCCUGAUGGAGGGGGAUAACUACUGGAAACGGUAGCUAAUACCGCAUAACGUCGCAAGACCAAAGAGGGGGACCUUCCGGGCCUCUUGCCAUCGGAUGUGCCCAGAUGGGAUUAGCUAGUAGGUGGGGUAACGGCUCACCUAGGCGACGAUCCCUAGCUGGUCUGAGAGGAUGACCAGCCACACUGGAACUGAGACACGGUCCAG